GGUCCCAUAGCUCAGCGUGUAGAGCACUCGGCUCAUAACCUUGUGUUCACUGGUUCGAAUCCAGUUGGGAUCACCA
rnacentral:tRNA from 1 species